CGGUUGAUCCUGCCGGACCCGACCGCUAUCGGGGUGGGGCUAAGCCAUGCGAGUCGUGCGCCCCAGGCCAUGGUGGGGCGCGGCGCACGGCUCAGUAACACGUGGCCAACCUACCCUCAGGACGGGGAUAACCCCGGGAAACUGGGGCUAAUACCCGAUAGGCAAUGGCUCCUGGAAUGGGCCAUUGCCGAAAGGGGGUUGAGGCCACGCUCCUCAACCCCGCCUGAGGAUGGGGCUGCGGCCCAUCAGGUAGUUGGCGGGGUAACGGCCCGCCAAGCCGAUAACGGGUACGGGCCGUGAGAGCGGGAGCCCGGAGAUGGGCCCUGAGACAAGGGCCCAGGCCCUACGGGGCGCAGCAGGCGCGAAACCUCCGCUAUGCGCGAAAGCGCGACGGGGUCACCCCGAGUGCCGCCCGAUGAGGGCGGCUUUUCCCCAGUGUAAUAAGCUGGGGGAAUAAGCGGGGGGCAAGUCUGGUGUCAGCCGCCGCGGUAAUACCAGCCCCGCGAGUGGUCGGGACGCUUAUUGGGGCUUAAAGCGUCCGUAGCCGGCCCAGCAAGUCUCUCCUUAAAUCCCACGGCUCAACCGUGGGGCUGGGAGAGAUACUGCUGGGCUAGGGGGCGGGAGAGGCCGAGGGUACUCCCGGGGUAGGGGCGAAAU
rnacentral:rRNA from 1 species